AAUGAAAAAGGCAAAUUCGCCGUAAGGCGGAGACGCAAAGCUUCCGGUCCUGAAAGUAAAGGAUAGCGGGGUUGCCAAAG
rnacentral:ncRNA from 1 species